AUUGAACGCUGGCGGCAGGUUUAACACAUGCAAGUCGAGCGGGGGAAGGUAGCUUGCUACUGGACCUAGCGGCGGACGGGUGAGUAAUGCUUAGGAAUCUGCCUAUUAGUGGGGGACAACAUCUCGAAAGGGAUGCUAAUACCGCAUACGUCCUACGGGAGAAAGCAGGGGAUCACUUGUGACCUUGCGCUAAUAGAUGAGCCGAAGUCGGAUUAGCUAGUUGGUGGGGUCAAGGCCUACCAAGGCGACGAUCUGUAGCGGGUCUGAGAGGAUGAUCCGCCACACUGGGACUGAGACACGGCCCUGACUCCUACGGGAGGCAGCAGUGGGGAAUAUUGGACAAUGGGGGGAACCCUGAUCCAGCCAUGCCGCGUGUGUGAAGAAGGCCUUAUGGUUGUAAAGCACUUUAAGCGAGGAGGAGGCUCUUUUGGUUAAUACCCAAGAUGAGUGGACGUUACUCGCAGAAUAAGCACCGGCUAACUCUGUGCCAGCAGCCGCGGUAA
rnacentral:rRNA from 1 species